CCACACUAUCCAAAGCAGAUAAAAGAGGGUGCCUUUAUUAGCUACUAAUCGAGCAAUUCAUUUACAUUCAAGAUUUCUGUCACUAUUAUGUUGCCGUAGCUUCUAUCUGUAACCCUCAACAACAGAUGCAAUUUAGUUGUUGAGUGAAGGAUAUAAAAAUGCUAGAUAGCUACCUUCAGGCCUGUGAUUUCUUAUUUAUCAUUUAAUUAAGCAGGAACCAAACAAGAUCACCAAACAAGAAAAGAAAAUAACAUAUUUGAAUAAUACAUUUACAGAAGAAAUAGCAGCAGCACAAAUAACACAAUUCAAAUCGAGCAUAAAGUUACAUGCUCUGUUAAAGCGGAGACACAAAUUGAUACUGUGAAUAAUGGCAGCCAUAACAUUACUAACAGUAAAGUGCUUACGGUCAGCUUGAUACGUAAAAACAGAUUUUAAAACCCCAUGUGAUUAGAGGACAUAUAUCUGGUUUAAAAGUCAAACAAUAUACGGUUUACUCUAAAUUGACUGCGACUCAUUCUUAUUUUCCAGAAGAACAAAAUAAAUAUACUUUCUUUUUUAAAGCAUUUUUACAGUAACACUGAUAAUCCCAUUAUGUUUCAGUCAAAGACAACCUAAGUAAAAACACUUAGCAAAUAAACUGACCUAAAACCAGAAAGAUUUAGUCUGAUUUAAUGUCCGACUAUCAGAAAUAAGUGGUUAUGUGUCUUUCUAUAGGAGGUUUGUAUAAUGUCUGGUUCCAACUCCCAUUUCCUGCAACUGCAUUAAUAAUUUCGGCAUUGCUGUUUUUCAUCAUAAAAUAGCAGAAAACAAGUUCACUUUAUUCAUUUCUUGCAGUUACUGUUCACAUAAUUUUAAAGCAAAAAGCACAUAAAAA